CCUGGUUGAUCCUAUCAGAACCAUAUGCUUGUCUCAAAGAUUAAGCCAUACAUGUCUAAGUACGCAGGGCUGGUACAGUAAAACUGCGAAUGGCUCAUUAAAUCAGUUAUGGUUCUUUUGGUCGCUGGCUCCUCUCCUACUUGGAAAACUGUGGUAAUUCUAGAGCUAUUACAUGCCGAAGGGCACUGACCCCCUUCACAGGGAAGAUGCGUGCAUUUAUCAGAUCAAAACCAACCCAGUCAGCCCCUCUCCGUCCCCGGCCGGGGGGUCGGGUGCCGCCAGCUUUGGUGCUUCUGGAUAACCUCGGGCCAAUCGCACGCCCCCCGUGGCAGCGAUGACCCAUUCGAAUGUCUGCCCUAUCAACUUUCUAUGGUAGUCGCUGUGCCUAUCAUGGUGACCACGGGUGACAGGGAAUCAGGGUUCAAUUCUGGAGAAGGAGCCUGAGAAAUGGCUACCACAUUCAAGGAAGGCAGCAGACACUCAAAUUACCCACUCCUGACACGGGGAGGUAGUGACGAAAAAUAACAAUACAGGACUCUUUCUAGGCCCUGUAAUUGGAAUGAGUGCACUUUAAAUCUUUUAAUGAGGAUCAAUUGGAGGGCAAGUCUGGUGCCAGCAGCCGUGGUAAUUCCAGCUCCAAUAGCGUAUAUUAAAGUUGUUGCAGUUAAAAAGCUCGUAGUUGAAUCUUGGGAGCGGGUGGGCUAGCGAGCCACAGCCCGUCCCUGCUUCUUGCCUCUCGGUGCCCCCUGGAUGCUCUUAGCUGAGUGUCCUGUGGCCCGAAGCACUUACUUUGAAAAAAUUAGAGUGUUCAAAGCAGGCCCAAGCCGCCUGGAUACUGCAGCUUGGAAUAAUGGAAUAGGACCACAGUUCUAUUUUGUUGGUUUUCGGAACUGAGGCCAUGAUUAAGAGGGACGGCCGGGGGCAUUCAUAUUGCACCGCUAGAGGUGAAAUUCUUGGACUGGCAGUUUAGACCAGAGCGAAAGCAUUUGCCAAGAAUGUUUUCAUUAAUCAAGAACGAAAGUCGGAGGUUCGAAGACGAUCAGAUACCGUUGUAAUUCCGACCAUAAACGAUGCCAACUGGCGAUGUGGCGGUGUUAUUCCCAUGACCCGCUGGGCAGCUUCCAAGAAACCAGUCUUUGGGUUUUUGGGUUCCGAGGGGAGUAUGGUUGCAAAGCUGAAACUUAAAGGAAUUGACAGAAGGGCACCACCAGGAGUGGAGCCUGCAGCUUAAUUUGACUCAACAUGGGAAAACUCACCCAGCCUGGACACGGACAGGAUUGACAGAUUGAUAGCUCUUUCUCGAUUCCACGGGUGGUGGUGCAUGGCCUUAGUUGCUGGAGUGAUUUGUCUGGCUAAUUCCAAUAACGAACGAGACUCUGGCAUGCCAACUAGUUAUGUGACCCUGGAGCGGUCGGCAUCCCCCAACUUCUUAGAGGGACAAGUGGCGUUCAGCC
rnacentral:rRNA from 1 species